rnacentral:rRNA from 1 species
UACAGAGGGUGCGAGCGUUGUCCGGAAUCACUGGGCGUAAAGGGCGCGUAGGCGGCCUGAUAAGUAGGGGGUGAAAUCCUGUGGCUUAACUGCAGGGCUGCCUCCUAGACUGUUAGGCUCGAGCACGGUAGAGGCAGAUGGAAUUCCCGGUGUAGCGGUGGAAUGCGUAGAGAUCGGGAAGAACAUCGGUGGCGAAGGCGAGUCUCUGGACGACUCCUGACACUGAGGCACGAAAGCUGGGGGAGCAAACAGG